UACGUAGGGUGCAAGCGUUAAUCGGAAUUACUGGGCGUAAAGCGUGCGCAGGCGGCUUUGCAAGACAGAUGUGAAAUCCCCGGGCUUAACCUGGGAAUGGCCAUGGAAACUGGCGAGCUGGAGUCUGGCAGAGGGGGGUGGAAUUCCGCGUGUAGCAGUGAAAUGCGUAGAGAUGCGGAGGAACACCGAUGGCGAAGGCAGCCCCCUGGGCUAAGACUGACGCUGAGGCACGAAAGCGUGGGGAGCAAACAGG
rnacentral:rRNA from 1 species